GGGCCUGAAAACAUUGGAUUGACUACAAAAGAGUCCAGCAGAAGGAAACUGCAUAAGACGAGCAUUUCUGACACCCAAUGGCAAUGCAGUUGAGCAUGGAAAGCUCAAGAGUAGGUGAGUUAGACUUAGAAGAAUGCAGCAAUUCCAACAAGGCAAAGAUGAGAAAGAAGAAACCAAUUUCGAAUCAGGAAGAAGAUAUAGAGAAGGACGCCAAUGUCAAUGGCAGGUCUAAGAAGAAGAAAGAAGGGACUAAAACGUCACUUCCUUCUGGUACUACUAGUCCUUAUUACAACAAGUUUGAUAAGGCUUACGAAAGGAAAACAGCAGACAACACAUGGAAGCCACCACAAUCUGAAUUUGGGUUCUUGCAUAAUCAUGCACAUGACCCCUGGAGAGUUUUGGUCAUUUGUAUGCUCCUUAAUCGCACUGCUGGUACUCGGGCUGAAAGAGUUGUAGCAGACCUCUUUACUCUGUGUCCUGAUGCUAAGGCUGCCACUGGGGUUGCCACAGAGGAGAUUGAAAGAGCAAUUAAAAGUCUAGGUUUACAAAAGAGGAGAGCAAAGAUGGUACAACGAUUAUCUGAAGACUAUUUACAGGAGGACUGGACCCAUGUCACUCAGUUGCCUGGUGUUGGAAAGUAUGCUGCUGAUGCACAUGCAAUAUUCUGCACAGGAAAGUGGGAGCAGGUUAGACCAAAUGAUCACAUGCUAAAUCGAUACUGGGAAUACCUAUGCAGUACCAAGAAUGCUUUGUCAUAAGCAUCAAUCUUUUGGAGGAGUUGUUCGUUGUUAGUGCAUGAGCUAAAUGCACGCAAUUGAAUACCAGAUAAAAUGUUGAUCAGAGGGGCGCAAAAUCUGUAGUGGAUGGAGCUAUGACCUUGUUAGUUUCAUAGGAGUCCACAUUUUGACGUCGCAUGAACUCAGGCGCUCUAGGCCAUCCUAGACUCGUUUCCCAUCCUAGCAAGUGGCUUAAAUGCGGAAGUACGGUUUACAUAAGCCGUAAAGCCACUGUCAAGUUGCUCGAGAAUUAGAAAUGGUUUUUCAUCUUGGGAUCGAAAAUGGGUUGGCGUUUCAUGUUUUGGCAUGCGAUCACACGAAGCAUUAAGACCUCAUGGUAGCAAGGACAUGUCUAUAAACCACUCAAAUCCAAAAUACAUAUAUAUGCAGACAAUAU